rnacentral:rRNA from 1 species
CAGUCGCCACGGGAAUACGUAGGUGGCAGGCGUUGUCCGGAAUUAUUGGGCGUAAAGGGCUCGCAGGCGGUUUCUUAAGUCUGAUGUGAAAGCCCCCGGCUCAACCGGGGAGGGUCAUUGGAAACUGGGAAACUUGAGUGCAGAAGUGGAGAGUGGAAUUCCACGUGUAGCGGUGAAAUGCGUAGAGAUGUGGAGGAACACCAGUGGCGAAGGCGACUCUCUGGUCUGUAACUGACGCUGAGGAGCGAAAGCGUGGGGAGCGAACAGGAUUAGAUACCCCCGUAGUCCCUGUCUCUUAUAC